rfam:Capsicum annuum cultivar Zunla-1 chromosome 8, whole genome shotgun sequence
AUCCCAAAUAAGUUAAUAAAAGUGCUUAUUUGAUUCAUGGGAGGCCAAAAUAAAUUACACAUGUAAGUUUAGCUAAUAAUGCCUUUCUCUAAUUUUCAAGGACGCGUUUAAUAAUCAUUUCCCACACAUUG